GACGAACGCUGGCGGCGUGCUUAACACAUGCAAGUCGAACGGAAAGGCCCUGCUUUUGUGGGGUGCUCGAGUGGCGAACGGGUGAGUAACACGUGAGUAACCUGCCCUUGACUUUGGGAUAACUUCAGGAAACUGGGGCUAAUACCGGAUAGGAGCUCCUGCUGCAUGGUGGGGGUUGGAAAGUUUCGGCGGUUGGGGAUGGACUCGCGGCUUAUCAGCUUGUUGGUGGGGUAGUGGCUUACCAAGGCUUUGACGGGUAGCCGACCUGAGAGGGUGACCGGCCACAUUGGGACUGAGAUACGGCCCAGACUCCUACGGGAGGCAGCAGUGGGGAAUAUUGCACAAUGGGCGGAAGCCUGAUGCAGCAACGCCGCGUGCGGGAUGACGGCCUUCGGGUUGUAAACCGCUUUCGCCUGUGACGAAGCGUGAGUGACGGUAAUGGGUAAAGAAGCACCGGCUAACUACGUGCCAGCAGCCGCGGUGAUACGUAGGGUGCGAGCGUUGUCCGGAUUUAUUGGGCGUAAAGGGCUCGUAGGUGGUUGAUCGCGUCGGAAGUGUAAUCUUGGGGCUUAACCCUGAGCGUGCUUUCGAUACGGGUUGACUUGAGGAAGGUAGGGGAGAAUGGAAUUCCUGGUGGAGCGGUGGAAUGCGCAGAUAUCAGGAGGAACACCAGUGGCGAAGGCGGUUCUCUGGGCCUUUCCUGACGCUGAGGAGCGAAAGCGUGGGGAGCGAACAGGCUUAGAUACCCUGGUAGUCCACGCUGUAAACGGUGGGUACUAGGUGUGGGGUCCAUUCCACGGGUUCCGUGCCGUAGCUAACGCUUUAAGUACCCCGCCUGGGGAGUACGGCCGCAAGGCUAAAACUCAAAGGAAUUGACGGGGCCCCGCACAAGCGGCGGAGCAUGCGGAUUAAUUCGAUGCAACGCGUAGAACCUUACCUGGGUUUGACAUGGAUCGGGAGUGCUCAGAGAUGGGUGUGCCUCUUUUGGGGUCGGUUCACAGGUGGUGCAUGGCUGUCGUCAGCUCGUGUCGUGAGAUGUUGGGUUAAGUCCCGCAACGAGCGCAACCCUUGUUCACUGUUGCCAGCACGUUAUGGUGGGGACUCAGUGGAGACCGCCGGGGUCAACUCGGAGGAAGGUGGGGAUGACGUCAAGUCAUCAUGCCCCUUAUGUCCAGGGCUUCACGCAUGCUACAAUGGCUGGUACAGAGAGUGGCGAGCCUGUGAGGGUGAGCGAAUCUCGGAAAGCCGGUCUCAGUUCGGAUUGGGGUCUGCAACUCGACCUCAUGAAGUCGGAGUCGCUAGUAAUCGCAGAUCAGCAACGCUGCGGUGAAUACGUUCCCGGG
rnacentral:rRNA from 1 species